GACGAACGCUGGCGGCGUGCUUAACACAUGCCAGUCGAACGGAAAGGCCCUGCUUUUGUGGGGUGCUCGAGUGGCGAACGGGUGAGUAACACGUGAGUAACCUGCCCUUGACUUUGGGAUAACUUCAGGAAACUGGGGCUAAUACCGGAUAGGAGCUCCUGCUGCAUGGUGGGGGUUGGAAAGUUUCGGCGGUUGGGGAUGGACUCGCGGCUUAUCAGCUUGUUGGUGGGGUAGUGGCUUACCAAGGCUUUGACGGGUAGCCGGCCUGAGAGGGUGACCGGACACAUGGGGACUGAGAUACGGCCCAGACUGCUACGGGAGGCAGCAGUGGGGAAGAUUGCACAAUGGGCGGAAGCCUGAUGCAGCAACGCCGCGUGCGGGAUGACGGCCUUCGGGUUGUAAACCGCUUUCGCCUGUGACGAAGCGUGAGUGACGGUAAUGGGUAAAGAAGCACCGGCUAACUACGUG
rnacentral:rRNA from 1 species